rnacentral:lncRNA from 1 species
UGGUGGCUCACGCCUGUAAUCCCAGCACUUUGGGAGGCCAAGGCGGGUGGAUCAUGAAGUCAGGAGAUCGAGCCCAUCCUGGCUAACACGGUGAAACCCCGCCUGUACUAAAAAUACAAAAAAAAAAUUAGCCGGGCGCGGUGGCAGGCGCCUGUAGUCCCAGCUACUCGGGAGGCUGAGGCAGGAAAAUGGCGUGAACC